rnacentral:lncRNA from 1 species
AUGACUAGCCGCGGCAAAUUGCUGAUCGCGGCCUGCAAAAUGGGGAAAACGAAGGCUAAGAAGCCAGGAAAGCAAAGUGAGGAUAAAGGUCCUGCACCUGAUAAAAAGGGCUUCAGUGGAUUGAAGAUCAUCCGAGCUCCUCUAAAACCAUUCAAUGCAAUCAGUUCAGUAAGCAAUGUGCCCGUGAACAGUAAAGAAACUAAAAAUAAUAAUAUUUCAAGAAUAAGUAAUAGCAUUUGUGAAAGCCCUGUUCCCACCUCCCAUGUUGCGCCAGAAGAUUUAAAACUACUCGAAUCUUUUAUUGAUGAUGAAGAUGAAUUUGAUAUCACACUAGAUUUACCAGUCACUGUCCAGUCAUCAGUCAGUGUAGUCAGUUGUGACUACACUGAAAAUAAUACUCCAGAGAUUGUACAAAGUAAUGCCAACUUUUUGAAACCCUCAGCAUCAUAAAUGCUGAUUCUGGCUCGAUAAAAACUGUAGUCCCAAGAACUUCUACCCCUGUCAUAAAUGCCAAUGAAUCAGCUUCAACAAGUAUUGCGUCCUCUACGGACCUCUCUAAAUCAGUUGUCAUAAAUGCCAGUGAAUCAACUUCAACAAGUAAUGAGUCCUACAGACCUCUCUAAAUCAGUUUCUAAAUGCCAAUGAAUCAACUUCAACAAGUAAUGAGUCCUCUACAGACCUCUCUGAACCAGUUGUCAUAAAUGCCAAUGAAUCAGCUUCAACAAGUAAUGAGUCCUCUACAGACCUCUCUGAACCAGUUGUCAUAAAUGCCAAUGACUCAACUUCAACAAGUAAUGAGUCUUCUUUAGGCCCCCCUGAAAAUGAACCGGGGCAGCAAAGUGAAAGUGAUGAAAGCAUUGAUCUGGAGAUACCUCCUGAUAUGAAAAAAAAAAAUUGUUUACUUUUUGAAUGGAACCAGUGAUGGAAAGUCGGUCAUUAAGUAUUAUUUGUCAAAUAACAGAAGACUCAACAAAGCUAAAAGGGCUUUGCUCUCGGACUUAAUAAUUCGAGAUCAGCUUAAGAGUGACCCAAACAAAA